rnacentral:misc_RNA from 1 species
GAUGAAGAACGUAGCGAAAUGCGAUAAGUAAUGCGAAUUGCAGAAUUUCCGUGAGUCAUCGAAUCUUUGAACGCACAUUGCGCCCCCUGGUAUUCCGGGGGGCAUGCCUGUCCGAGCGUCAUUACAACCCUCAAGCUCUGCUUGGUGUUGGGCCCCGCCGCCCCGGCGGGCCCUAAAGUCAGUGGCGGUGCCAUCCGGCUCCGAGCGUAGUAAUUCUUCUCGCUCUGGAGGUCCGGUUGUGUGCUUGCCAUCAACCCCCAAUUUUUUUCAGGUUGACCUCGGAUCAGGUAGGGAUACCCGCUGAACUUAAGCAUAUCAAUAAGCGGAGGA